CCUACGGGUGGCAGCAGUGAGGAAUAUUGGUCAAUGGGCGAAAGCCUGAACCAGCCAAGUAGCGUGCAGGAUGACGGCCCUACGGGUUGUAAACUGCUUUUAUACGGGAAUAAAGCGCCUUACGUGUAGGGCUUUGCAUGUACCGUAUGAAUAAGGAUCGGCUAAUUCCGUGCCAGCAGCCGCGGUAAUACGGAAGGUCCGGGCGUUAUCCGGAUUUAUUGGGUUUAAGGGGUGCGAAGGGGGUUUGUUAAGUCAGUGGUCAAAGCCCGGGGCUAAACCCCGGCCCGCCGUUGAAACUGGCAGUCUCGAGUUGGGGAGAGGUAUGCGGAAUGCGCGGUGGAGCGGUGAAAUGCAUAGAUAUCGCGCAGAACUCCGAUUGCGAAGGCAGCAUGCCGGCUCCACACUGACGCUGAGGCACGAAAGCGUGGGUAUCGAACAGGAUUAGAUACCCGGGUAGUC
rnacentral:rRNA from 1 species